UGCUUGGGAAUCUGGCUUAUGGAGGGGGAUAACUACGGGAAACUGUAGCUAAUACCGCGUAAUAUCUUCGGAUUAAAGGGUGGGACUUUCGGGCCACCUGCCAUAAGAUGAGCCCAAGUGGGAUUAGGUAGUUGGUGGGGUAAAGGCCUACCAAGACGACGAUCUCUAGCUGGUCUGAGAGGAUGACCAGCCACACUGGAACUGAGACACGGUCCAUACUCCUACGGGAGGCAGCAGUGGGGAAUAUUGCACAAUGGGGGGAACCCUGAUGCAGCCAUGCCGCGAGAAUGAACAACGCCUUCGGGUUGUAAAGUUCUUUCGGUGAUGAGGAAGGUGUUUGUUUUAAUAGAACAGGCAAUUGACGUUAGUCACAGAAGAAGCACCGGCUAACUCCGUGCCAGCAGCCGCGGUAAUACGGAGGGUGCGAGCGUUAAUCGCAAUGACUGGGCGUAAAGGGCACGCAUGCGGUGACUUAAGUGAGAUGUGAAAACCCCGAGCUUAACUUGGGAAUUGCAUUUCAUACUGGGUCGCUAGAGUAAUUUAGGGAGGGGUAGAAUUCCACGUGUAGCGGUGAAAUGCGUAUAGAUGUGGAGGAAUACCGAAGGCGAACGCAGCCCCUUGGGAAUAUACUGACGCUCAUGUGCGAGAGCGUGGGGAGCAAACAGGA
rnacentral:rRNA from 1 species